AACGAACGCUGGCGGCAUGCCUAACACAUGCAAGUCGAACGAUGCCUUCGGGCAUAGUGGCGCACGGGUGCGUAACGCGUGGGAAUCUGCCCUUGGCUUCGGAAUAACAGUUAGAAAUGACUGCUAAUACCGGAUGAUGUCCCCCUGAGAGAUCUUGGGGACCAAAGAUUUAUCGGCCAGGGAUGAGCCCGCGUAGGAUUAGGUAGUUGGUGGGGUAAAGGCCUACCAAGCCGACGUUCCUUAGCUGGUCUGAGAGGAUGAUCAGCCACACUGGGACUGAGACACGGCCCAGACUCCUACGGGAGGCAGCAGUGGGGAAUAUUGGACAAUGGGGGGAACCCUGAUCCAGCAAUGCCGCGUGAGUGAUGAAGGCCUUAGGGUUGUAAAGCUCUUUUACCAGGGAUGAUAAUGACAGUACCUGGAGAAUAAGCUCCGGCUAACUCCGUG
rnacentral:rRNA from 1 species